rnacentral:rRNA from 1 species
GGGUCAGUAGGUUGGUCAUGCCACUGGUAUGAACUGGUCUCGCUGAUCCCUCCCUCUUGACGAACUGUGAUGCCAUUAAUUUGGUGUUGCAGGGAAUCUGGACUGUUACUUUGAAAAAAUUAGAGUGUUUAAAGCAAGCUAACGCUUGAAUACAUUAGCAUGGAAUAAUGAAAUAGGACGUUCGAUCCUAUUUUGUUGGUUUCUAGGAUUGACGUA